UACGAAGGUGGCAAGCGUUGUUCGGAUUUACUGAGCGUACAGGGAGCGUAGGCGGUUGGGUAAGCCCUCCGUGAAAUCUCCGGGCCUAACCCGGAAAGUGCGGAGGGGACUGCUCGGCUAGAGGAUGGGAGAGGAGCGCGGAAUUCCCGGUGUAGCGGUGAAAUGCGUAGAGAUCGGGAGGAAGGCCGGUGGCGAAGGCGGCGCUCUGGAACAUUUCUGACGCUGAGGCUCGAAAGCGUGGGGAGCAAACAGG
rnacentral:rRNA from 1 species